AGGUGCUGGCGUUACACCAUACAGCAGAGGAAGCAGAGGUUGCGGAAGGAGAGCAAUGUGCCCCAAGGACACGGAGCCCGGCCCAAGAAUACAGUGACUCCAGUUGUAGGCUACAUGUUUCUAUGGCUUCCUUUCCUUCCCUCUGCACUCCAGUUGUUAUUUCUGCAGAGACUUAGUCUCAGGAAGAGACUGAACUUCUAUGGAGGCCAUGUUCCCUCUCAUUACCCUACUCAUUGUUCCAGAAAGGAAUUGUGGCAGAUGAGGCAGAUGUAUAUAAAAUACAUCUUGAUCACACAGAUGUGACAAAGAGUGGGGGAAAGGACGGGAAGGGGAAGAGCAGGGAACAAGAAUGGAAAUUUAUUAUGGAGCCAGAAUUAAGGCUAAUAGAAAAACACAUCAUUGGAAUCUGGUAGGCUCAAACUUCUAUCAAGUCUUCUAGCAGUCAAUGUGAAAAAAAGCAGCUGGUCACUAAGAGAACUCAGUCCACACUAUAAAAACAACCAAUAGCUCAGGAUUAGAAAGCAAUUUAUCUUGACUGCCAUCUUAAGACACCACUGAGUGACAUGGGGAACCUUACAGCACAUGCCAGGCUCAGUUUCUUAGACCAUUUUAUAUUAUCUCCUUAUAAAUAAAGCAUUCACAUGAUCAGAAGACCUGAACCAAGUGCUGCUGGUCAGGGCUGUCCACGGAACACACAUCUUCUGCCACCUUGUUCCUUUCUCCUCUUACUCACCAAGAACAAAGGAUAAGCAGAACCACUGCACUUUCUCCUCCCUGCUCCUUGGAAACUCAGGUCCCUAGCUCUGAGUACCUCUAUCUCACAUCAUAAAACUAGACAUGAACUCAAUCUCUGUCUUACUAAACUCUAUCAAGCAAUGUACAUCAUGACUACUAUGUAACCUCCUCCUGUGCACAAGUAUCUGAUCUCUCACAGCCAAAUGGGAGAUCCCUCAGGAAUACCAUCUUGACCAUCACUCUAUCCCCCUGCAAUGUCGUGUAGAGCAGCUGGGCCACAGAUGGUGAACAACUAAAAAGGUGAAGGCCACUGAACCAGCGCCAAGGAAGAUGGAAGCAGAUAGGCAACCAUGAGCUUUCCUUUAAAAAUCCAUGUUAUCUGCCAAACAACAACAAGGCAUAUUAUAUAGUUUUUUUUUAAAGUCUUUGUUUCUUAGCUCAGAAAGCAAAAGAGAGGAAGAAACAACACAUUCAGAGCACACAGCUGUACACUAAAAUACAGAAAUACACAGUACUCACCAGGUUAGCAUGUGGCUGGGAGAGAGGAAAAUGAGAUGAGGUUGGGACACGUGGUUAGCUACUUGGUUAGUCUGCUUACUUUGAAAAAAUGAAACAAGAGUCUUAGACCUCAAAGUCUGUCUGUGAAAAUAUAGCUACUUCUUAAACUCUGGGUUUACUUCUCUUGAGGAAUACAGCAACGUUUGGCAUGCCUGCCUAUUAUUUGGCAACCAUCAUUACAGCAACCAUCUUAUCUUCUAUUGAUUUUUGCAACAUCCCUGGGAGGUGCAAACAUAGAUGAGUUCUGAAAGAACACAGGUAGCGGACACCGCCUGAGUUCAUGCUGCGCAUGCAUGAUGUUUCAAUUCUUCCCAGGCAGGACCACACAGAAUUGUGUCCAGAGAAAGAAGGAAUCUUGCCACAGAGUCUAUUAGAAAAAACUCCUGUGGAAAUUGCAAUAUCUAGUCACUGUGGCCUCACAGGACUCCCGGACACCUGACUCCUGGCUAAGAAAAUAUUGACAGACUCUCUCCCUCACCUGUAAUCUAUAUUGGAAACAACCCUGAUCCCCAUGUGCCUCAGGCUUGGAACCUGACUUGGUAAUUGUACGAUCAGCAAAUCUGUCGACUUCAGCCCUAUUGGAGACUCUGAAUUGAACCAUCUUCACCAAGGAGCUAUAGAUAAAAUACAACUGCUUUUUCAUCAAAGGGCAACAACUACACCUCCAAGGGAUGAACAUCUGGGAAGAUCCUUAAAUACCUAAAAGCAAAUCAUCAAAACAUUUGUAGCAAUGUAGCUCCACAAUCAGGUACUUCUUAAGAAGGAUGCACAAUGUACACUUUGGCCAGAUGGUAACAGAUAUGGAAAAUACCAAGAAUAUCAAGACUGAAAUAUGGAGGACAACCUGCAUCCUGAAGAGGCAUUUAUUAAGCACCUACUGUGUGCCAGGUAUUCUACAUAUGUUAUCACUAAUUCUCACUACAGCCUUUCCUGGUAUAUACUAUCAUUCUUAUCUAUGAUUAAGAAAAGAGACUCAGGUCAAAUGACUUGCCCAUUAUUAAAAGGCUAAUAAAUGGCAUAUUUAGGACUUGAAUUCA